AAAUUGAAGAGUUUGAUCAUGGCUCAGAUUGAACGCUGGCGGCAGGCCUAACACAUGCAAGUCGAACGGUAACAGGAAGCAGCUUGCUGCUUCGCUGACGAGUGGCGGACGGGUGAGUAAUGUCUGGGAAGCUGCCUGAUGGAGGGGGAUAACUACUGGAAACGGUGGCUAAUACCGCAUAACGUCGCAAGACCAAAGAGGGGGACCUUCGGGCCUCUUGCCAUCAGAUGUGCCCAGAUGGGAUUAGCUUGUUGGUGAGGUAACGGCUCACCAAGGCGACGAUCCCUAGCUGGUCUGAGAGGAUGACCAGCCACACUGGAACUGAGACACGGUCCAGACUCCUACGGGAGGCAGCAGUGGGGAAUAUUGCACAAUGGGCGCAAGCCUGAUGCAGCCAUGCCGCGUGUAUGAAGAAGGCCUUCGGGUUGUAAAGUACUUUCAGCGGGGAGGAAGGUGUUGUGGUUAAUAACCGCAGCAAUUGACGUUACCCGCAGAAGAAGCACCGGCUAACUCCGUGCCAGCAGCCGCGGUAAUACGGAGGGUGCAAGCGUUAAUCGGAAUUACUGGGCGUAAAGCGCACGCAGGCGGUCUGUCAAGUCGGAUGUGAAAUCCCCGGGCUCAACCUGGGAACUGCAUUCGAAACUGGCAGGCUUGAGUCUUGUAGAGGGGGGUAGAAUUCCAGGUGUAGCGGUGAAAUGCGUAGAGAUCUGGAGGAAUACCGGUGGCGAAGGCGGCCCCCUGGACAAAGACUGACGCUCAGGUGCGAAAGCGUGGGGAGCAAACAGGAUUAGAUACCCUGGUAGUCCACGCCGUAAACGAUGUCUACUUGGAGGUUGUGCCCUUGAGGCGUGGCUUCCGGAGCUAACGCGUUAAGUAGACCGCCUGGGGAGUACGGCCGCAAGGUUAAAACUCAAAUGAAUUGACGGGGGCCCGCACAAGCGGUGGAGCAUGUGGUUUAAUUCGAUGCAACGCGAAGAACCUUACCUGGUCUUGACAUCCACGGAAGUUUUCAGAGAUGAGAAUGUGCCUUCGGGAACCGUG
rnacentral:rRNA from 1 species